rnacentral:rRNA from 1 species
GACGAACGCUGGCGGCGUGCUUAACACAUGCCAGUCGAACGGAAAGGCCCUGCUUUUGUGGGGUGCUCGAGUGGCGAACGGGUGAGUAACACGUGAGUAACCUGCCCUUGACUUUGGGAUAACUUCAGGAAACUGGGGCUAAUACCGGAUAGGAGCUCCUGCUGCAUGGUGGGGGUUGGAAAGUUUCGGCGGUUGGGGAUGGACUCGCGGCUUAUCAGCUUGUUGGUGGGGUAGUGGCGUACCAAGGCUUUGACGGGUAGCCGGCCUGCGAGGGUGACCGGCCCCAUUGGCACUGGGAUACGGGCCGGACUCCUACGGGAGCAAGCAGUGAGGAAUAUUGCACGAUGGGCGGAAGCAUGAUGCAGCAACGCCGCGUGCGGGAUGACGGCCUUCGGGUUGUAACCCGCUUUCGCCUGUGACGAAGAGUGAGUGACGGUAAUGGGUAAAGAAGCAACGGCUAACUACGUG